rnacentral:rRNA from 1 species
GACGAACGCUGGCGGCGUGCUUAACACAUGCAAGUCGAACGGAAAGGCCCUGCUUUUGUGGGGUGCUCGAGUGGCGAACGGGUGAGUAACACGUGAGUAACCUGCCCUUGACUUUGGGAUAACUUCAGGAAACUGGGGCUAAUACCGGAUAGGAGCUCCUGCUGCAUGGUGGGGGUCGGAAAGUUUCGGAGGUUGGGGAUGGACUCGCGGCUUAUCAGCUUGUUGGUGGGGUAGUGGCUUACCAAGGCUUUGACGGGUAGCCGGCCUGAGAGGGUGACCGGCCACAUUGGGACUGAGAUACGGCCCGGACUCCUACGGGAGGCAGCAGUGGGGAAUAUUGCACGAUGGGCGGAAGCCUGAUGCAGCAACGCCGCGUGCGGGAUGACGGCCUUCGGUUUGUAAACCGCUUUCGCCUGUGACGAAGCGUGAGUGACGGUAAUGGGUAAAGAAGCACCGGCUAACUACGUG